AGCAGCCGCGGUAAUUCCAGCUCCAAUAGCGUAUAUUAAAGUUGUUGCAGUUAAAAGCUCGUAGUUGAAUUUCGGGAUUGACGUGAUGGUCGUGCCUUACGGGGUAUGAACUGUUGCUGUUGAUUUCUCGCCUUCUGGAGAAACUUGAUGUCCUUAAUUGGGUGUCUUGCGGAUCCAGGACCUUUACCUUGAAAAAUUGAGUGUUUAAAGCAGGCAUUUUGCUCGAAUACAUUAGCAUGGAAUAAUAGAAUAGGACGGCAUGGUUCUAUUUUGUUGGUUUCUAGGAUCACCGUAAUGAUUAAUAGGGAUAGUUGGGGGCAUUAGUAUUCAAUUGUCAGAGGUGAAAUUCUUGGAUUUAUUGAAGACUAACUACUGCGAAAGCAUUUGCCAAGGNUGUUUUCAUUAAUCAAGAACGAAAGUUAGGGGAUCGAAGACGAUCAGAUACCGUCGUAGUCUUAACCAUAAACUAUGCCGACUAGG
rnacentral:misc_RNA from 1 species